AUUGAACGCUGGCGGCAUGCCUUACACAUGCAAGUCGAACGGCAGCACGGGGCAACCUGGUGACGAGUGGCGAACGGGUGAGUAAUGUAUCGGAACGUACCUUUCAGUGGGGGAUAACGUAGCGAAAGUUACGCUAAUACCGCAUAUUCUGUGCGCAGGAAAGCAGGGGAUCGCAAGACCUUGCGCUGAUUGAGCGGCCGAUAUCAGAUUAGCUAGUUGGUGAGGUAAAGGCUCACCAAGGCGACGAUCUGUAGCGGGUCUGAGAGGAUGAUCCGCCACACUGGAACUGAGACACGGUCCAGACUCCUACGGGAGGCAGCAGUGGGGAAUUUUGGACAAUGGGGGCAACCCUGAUCCAGCCAUGCCGCGUGAGUGAAGAAGGCCUUCGGGUUGUAAAGCUCUUUCGGCCGGGAAGAAAUCGUAUCAGCUAAUACCUGGUGCGGAUGACGGUACCGGCAUAAGAAGCACCGGCUAACUACGUGCCAGCCGCCGCGGUAACAC
rnacentral:rRNA from 1 species